ensembl:misc_RNA Metazoa_SRP Metazoan signal recognition particle RNA
GCCAGGUGUGGUGAUGCUCACCUGUAGUCCCAGCUACUGGGGAGGCUGAGGUGGGAGGAUCGCUUGAGCCCAGGAGUUUGAGGCUGCAGUGAGCUGUGAUCACUGCCCUCCAGCCUGGGCAAUGGAGUGAGACCCUGUCUCAA